rnacentral:rRNA from 1 species
GACGAACGCUGGCGGCGUGCCUAAUACAUGCAAGUCGAGCGAAUCAAUAGGAGCUUGCUCCUGUUGGUUAGCGGCGGACGGGUGAGUAACACGUGGGCAACCUGCCUGUAAGACUGGGAUAACACCGGGAAACCGGUGCUAAUACCGGAUAAUCCUUUUCCUCUCAUGAGGAAAAGCUGAAAGUCGGUUUCGGCUGACACUUACAGAUGGGCCCGCGGCACAUUAGCUAGUUGGUGAGGUAACGGCUCACCAAGGCGACGAUGCGUAGCCGACCUGAGAGGGUGAUCGGCCACACUGGGACUGAGACACGGCCCAGACUCCUACGGGAGGCAGCAGUAGGGAAUCUUCCACAAUGGACGAAAGUCUGAUGGAGCAACGCCGCGUGAGCGAUGAAGGCCUUCGGGUCGUAAAGCUCUGUUGUUAGGGAAGAACAAGUACCGGAGUAACUGCCGGUACCUUGACGGUACCUAACCAGAAAGCCACGGCUAACUACGUGCCAGCCGCCGCAGUAACAC